ensembl:snoRNA
UAGACCGAUGAUGAGAGGAUCAUCAAUCAAGGGUUAUGAUGAAUCCAAAUCUGUGCAUCUGAGGUCCAAU